GGGGGUGAAUAGGGCUCGACGGAAACGGUUGAUGUAGUGACAGCAGGUCGGAGUUAGUCGAUGGCUCUGUGAAAAUCGACUGAAGAAUAAACAACAAUAAUUUAGUUUCAAUGCAGAACUUCAAAGUUUUUGUAUCGGGGAUGUUUUUGGUGGGUCUUUUUUUUGGGAUGAGAAAAAAAUCCAAAGGCUUCGAAAAUCUUGGAGCGAUGCCAGUGGCUGCUUAAAGCAGUUACGUUUUAUCUCAAACACCUGCUAUGAGAAUAGAACGACAAAAUGGCAGGUUAGUUUUAAACCGCUCGUGUCGUCAGUUUAAAAUGAAAUUAAAACGAUGCAAGUUUAUAACGCAAUCCUGUCUGGAGGCAGUGUUAUAAAUGAAAAAAAAUCCAGACUAAGCCUGUAGCGGUCUUACUGAAGCAUUUUCGGACGCGGGUUCGAUUCCCGCCACCUCCACAA
rnacentral:tmRNA from 1 species